ACACAUGCAAGUCGAGCGGCMGCACAGAGAAACUUGUUUYUCRGGUGGCGAGCGGCGGACGGGUGAGUAAUGCCUGGGAAAUUGCCCUGAUGUGGGGGAUAACCAUUGGAAACGAUGGCUAAUACCGCAUAAUAGCUUCGGCUCAAAGAGGGGGACCUUCGGGCCUCUCGCGUCAGGAUAUGCCCAGGUGGGAUUAGCUAGUUGGUGAGGUAAUGGCUCACCAAGGCGACGAUCCCUAGCUGGUCUGAGAGGAUGAUCAGCCACACUGGAACUGAGACACGGUCCAGACUCCUACGGGAGGCAGCAGUGGGGAAUAUUGCACAAUGGGCGCAAGCCUGAUGCAGCCAUGCCGCGUGUGUGAAGAAGGCCUUCGGGUUGUAAAGCACUUUCAGUCGUGAGGAA
rnacentral:rRNA from 1 species